rnacentral:misc_RNA from 1 species
CACAAAUUAAAAUAUGAAGGCUUCGGCUGGAUUAUUUUUAUCACCCUUGUCUUUUGCGCACUUGUUGUUUCCUGGGCGGGUUCGCCCGCCACCAGGACCACACCAUAAACCUUUUUUUAUGCAGUUGCAAUCGGCGUCAGUAUAACAAAUGUAAAUCAUUUA